AAAGGGGACCCUGCCACCCUCCCACCCACCACCCCAACCCAAAGCACAGACACUCGCGCGCAUUUCCGGAAAGUCUUUUUCGCACUCCCCGCGAGCUUUUGGAACCAGCACCAAGUUGCUGGGAUUCCCAGUGUACCCCCUGGGCUGCUGCCAACAAGGCACCCUCAGUUUCCAGCGCAGUAGAAUGGGGGCAAGCCCAGAAAGAGCUAGCAGCUUCUGGCGCUUUGCCUUGCUACCCUAGAAGCACUGUCACGUCCCUGACCCAGAGCUCACAGGGGAGCAGGUCGGCCUCUCAUCCCCCAGCUCCUGGCUUAGUGCCUGGCUCACAGUGAGGGGAGGUUGGAGGCGUCUUGGGGUAGGAGGAUCAAGAAAACAAACUGUUAGUGCAGUUCUUGCAGAGGUGUGGGGGUCGAUAUUCUUAUUGAGAGCCAACAUGACCGCGCACUGAGAGCAGGUGAUGAUAAAGACAACAGUGAGGUAUCACUUGAGAGAGAGAUGCAGUUCAGUCGCUGACCCUAGAGGACAACGGAUCAGAAGGGGGGCUGGUGGAGCGCGGGGUGUGGGGGAGGCAACACACAGAGAUAAAGCAGGUCAGAGUUCAGUCAUCUGGAAGUGAGGAUAUGAUUCGGAUGGUGAGCACCUUGUUAAGAGCAGGAUUAUCUGUAGGAAACACUUGAAACACCUGGAUUGGGCACUUCAUGGAGCGUUUAAAGAAGUCUCCCUACUGCCAGCUCCUCCCCAAAGUCAAGCGGGAGGGAACCUGUUGAUGCUGACAUAGAAGUGGCCCUCCUGGGGCCAACAGCUGGGUGGAGAAAGCCACCAAAUUGCAGAUGCUAUCCUGAUUCCAUCCUGACUUCCUUGGACAGAUAACCUCACCAAUGUGUCCUGGAACCUCACUUCUCCAGAGCCCUACCCCACUGGAGGUAUGGAUUGAACUGCCAACACCCAUGUUCAGUGGAGAAGCAAUUACAGAAGCCAGAACUCCCACCUUACACACCCCCAAAAUAAUUUUGUUCCAUACUCCAGUGGGGGAGAAAUGACAGAGGGAAGAAGAACAGAUCUCUCUAAACUCCAACUCCAUCAGGACCAGGAGAGAGAAGAGGAAAAAAGGAGGGACAUUUGGAUGUAGUAAUAGAUAUAUGUGUGAUGUGGAAAGGAAGAGAAGAUGGGAUCUUUAAAAACUGAACAAAACAACAACAACGAUAAUAACCUCCAGGAGCAGUAGAUUCGUAGUGCAGGCACCAAGUCCCAGCAAUAAACCUGGAGACAAAAAAAACAAAAACAAACCCUACUUAUUUUAUUUCCGUGUGGAGUCUAAGCGUAAACAUCUUUGACGAGCUCUUCUGGUGUGUCUGUCUGAUGUCUAGUCAGGUGGGGAAGAUUAUAGACUUUUCUCUUGAAACUGUAAACUGUUAUGUCUAAUGAGUUGACAAGGCAUUAAAUACAGAGGUCUAUAACCAGGAAUAACUUUGGUCUCAGAUAAGCCAUUUACUCCAACUGUCACUGAGCCCAGAGAUUAGCCCCUGUGCUCUGGGCAUCCCACUUUGCCUCCAUUUGUCCAGGUGUGGGCACUGAAUCCCGUCAGCUGGUGAUUAAGACGAGAAAAACAGCAGUCACUGCCACCUGUGUAACCUUGUCCAGAUUUAACGCUACCUUCCCAGCCUACUUCUUUCUAUCAUCUUGCAAAAACAGCUUUUGAAGUUUCCAAAUUACUUUUAUUUCUCCUGUGCAGCACAAAAGAAUGAGCCAAGGAUCUCAGACAUGCAUGACAAUACCAAGUGAACUCCCUGGCCCCAUUUAUUAAUCCUUCCCCUCCUCGAUUUUUAAAUUCUAUAUACUGAUAUUUAGAGAGAGUAAGGAAAGAUGGAGAGAGCACAGAGAGAGGAACAGAAUGCUACUCUGUCAUUCAUGGAGUUCCUUUCAUUGCUGUUCAUGGUGCUCCCAUGUAGUGCCAGAAAUUGAACCCAGGAUCUCACCAUGUUAAGAGUUCACUGUACCUGCUAAACUGUCUCCCAUUCCACUCCAAAUUCUUUUCUCCUCCUCCCCUUCCUCUUCUUUUUUUAAAAUUUAUUCAUUUAUUCCCUUUUUUUGUUGUUGCCCUUGUUUUUUAUUGUUGUAGUUAUUGUUGUUGUUAUUGAUGUCGUUGUUGUUGGAUAGGACAGAGAGAAAUGGAGAGAGGAGGGGAAGACAGAGAAGGGGAGAGAAAGAGAGACACCUGCAGACCUGGUUCACCAUCAGUGAAGCCACUCCCCUGCAGGUGGGAAGCCGGAGGCUUGAACUGGGAUCCUUACUCCUGUUCUUGCACUUUGUGCCACCUGCGCUUAACCUGCCUGACUUCCACCCUCCUCUUUCUUCUUUUUUGCCAUCUGAGUUUUCACUGGGGCUUAGGGUCUGCAUGAUUAAUCUGGUGCUCAAGGAUGAUGAAGAUGUGUGUAUUUUUUUUUUUUUUUUUGAAGAGAAAUUGAGAGGAGAAAGACAGAAAGGGAGAGAGAUACCUGUAGCCUUGUUGCAUAAUUCACGUAACUUCCCACCUUGUAGGUGGGGAUAGGGCUUGAACUCAGGUCCCUGUGCAUAACAUGUGUGCCCUACAGAAUGUGCCACUGUUUGACCCCUCACCUCCAAAUUCUUUUUUUAAAAAAUAUAUAUUUAUUUAUUCCCUUUUGUUGCCCUUUUUAUUGUUGUAGUUAUUGUUGUUGUCAUUGUUGGAUAGGACAUUUCUCUAGAAAUGGAGAGGGGAGGGGAAGACAGAGAAGGAG